rnacentral:rRNA from 1 species
CAGUCGCCACGGUAAUACGGAGGGUGCAAGCGUUAUCCGGAUUUAUUGGGUUUAAAGGGUCCGUAGGCGGACUUAUAAGUCAGUGGUGAAAGCCUGUCGCUUAACGAUAGAACUGCCAUUGAUACUGUAAGUCUUGAGUAUAUUUGAGGUAGCUGGAAUAAGUAGUGUAGCGGUGAAAUGCAUAGAUAUUACUUAGAACACCAAUUGCGAAGGCAGGUUACCAAGAUAUAACUGACGCUGAGGGACGAAAGCGUGGGUAGCGAACAGGAUUAGAUACCCGCGUAGUCCCUGUCUCUUAUAA